AACGCGAAGAACCUUACCCGGGCUUGAAAGUUAGUGAAUAAAGCAGAGACGCUUUAGUCCUUCGGGGCCUGUGCACAGGUGCUGCAUGGCUGUCGUCAGCUCGUGCCGUGAGGUGUUUGGUUAAGUCCAGCAACGAGCGCAACCCUUAUCAUUAGUUGCCAACAUUUAAGGUGGGAACUCUAAUGAGACUGCCUGGGUUAACCAGGAGGAAGGUGAGGAUGACGUCAAGUCCGCAUGGCCCUUAUGUCUGGGGCUACACACGUGCUACAAUGGUCGGUACAGAAGGCAGCAAAGCCGCGAGGUAGAGCAAAUCCCAAAAACCGAUCUCAGUUCAGAUUGUAGUCUGCAACUCGACUACAUGAAGACGGAAUUGCUAGUAAUGGCAGGUCAGCAACACUGCCGUGAAUACGUUCCCGGGCCUUGUACACACCGCGCAUA
rnacentral:rRNA from 1 species